GUGGGCGAGCCUCAAGGUGGCGACCGUAUCUGAUGGAGGCCAGGCAGGUGAGCUGUCGAGGAAAAGGUGCCGCACGCAGGCUUCGGAGGGGAGACGCCGCAUGGCGACGAGAGGUCCGAGAGGUUGUGCGCCGGCUGCCUUUGGGCCUGGAUGCGCGUUUGAGGUGAG